UGGAUCACAGCCUUUCACAACUCCUGUU
rnacentral:piRNA from 1 species